CCUGCCGCCGCCCGCGCCCCCGGGAAGGGCCGCGCCCGGGCCCAGGGGGGCGCGGUGGGAGCCCGGGAGAGGGACGGGACGGGACCGGGGGGAAGGCAGCCGAGACGGGAGCCCCAGACGCCGCCUGUCAGAUCACCUGCUUAGGAUUUGGGAAAUGAGGCCAGGAUUUCCAGAACACAUCAGACUGAGAAUGCGCAGUCUGGAGCACACAUAUGCUCAGUCCUGACUUGGAAAAUACCAGAUGGAAAUCUGGCAGCUGUAAAGUGGAUCAAACAAGGUUCGACAGCUGAUUGAACAACUCUCACACGACUCCCAGAAGAAUCAUCCUGAUUAUGAAAAAAAUGAUGCAUAAUUUUAUGUACAGUGUCAAAGACCUCCUCUUCUGCAAGCAGGAAAUGACAGUCACGUGGUAAACAGGCAGAUGCUGUUUUAUUUAAGAUAAUAUGUAUGAAACAAUCUAUUUAAACCACAUUCCUGUAAAAAAAUGCUGCUUUUUUUUGUCUAAGGAAGGACAGCUGAGAAGUGUAUUUCUGUAUGCUUGAGCAUGGCCUCAUCUGUGUCAUUCUGGCAAUGGCAUGGAACUGGACGCUGAGAGCUGCUCAAAUCAGGAAGCUGUUGGGACCAAGCAGGGGGUCCCCAGAGCAACCUGACCCGGUUCUUUAUAAGCAGCUGGUUCCACCAAGGACACCCUUACUAUCCAAAAAUACUGCUCGCACUCUGUGGCUCCCCAUUUCUCUUGCUAUGGUGACACUGAAAUAUCCAUCCUCCCUCACAAUCUCCACAGGAAUCUCAGUAUUUAUUGUCCUCUGGAUUUUGACUCCUGCUCCCUGGCUUUGGCCUGAUGGUGGUAGACUGCAAGACUCCAGGUCCAAGUAGAAAGAUGAUCUUUGCCCUAUUUAUGUUAUUCCCUGUUAAGCUUUAAAGCUAUACAGCCUCUCCCUUAUCCUUCAACGCCUCGUCAUCAGCAUGACUAAGGACAAGUUGUUCACCAAUAAAGAAAUGACCUUUGCUAGAAAUAGCUAUCAUUAUAAAUCUCAGUUUCCCUGUCCUUCUGUGUAUGAGCCUACAGAAAUGUCACUGAGGAAAUAACUAAUUAGAUUAUGUCAAACUUGCAAGAGUGUUUAGUUUUUUGAGGCGGUGGGCUAUGCAUGUGAGGUUAUCCUCACCUGCUUUGUUUUAGACUUUCUUGUAUUUCUAGAUUUCAUCAAAAGUUCAAUCCCAUGUUAAUGAAGGUAGUGGAGAAUUUGCACUGACCUCAGUUCAUCUGCAUAAAGCACCAUCCUCUUGGUCUCCAAUACAUGUCACUAACUGAUGUGUGACACCAUAAAGUUCAGGUCUGUAAGAAGUAACGUUCACUAAAUUCUACAGCAGCAUGCUUGUCUGCUCUUCUUGGUUUCUUCACAUCCUAACAAUAAUAAAAACAUAGAUACAUAACAAAUCAUUAAAAAUGUAUGUAGCAACAAAA